GCAGCCUGCAACUCGGCUGCAUGAAGCUGGAAUCGCUAGUAAUCGCGGAUCAGAAUGCCGCGGUGAAUACGUUCCCGGGUCUUGUACACACCGCCCGUCACACCAUGGGAGCCGGGAAUGCCCGAAGUCAGUGGCCCAACCGCAGGGAGGGAGCUGCCGAAGGCAGGCCUGGUGACUGGGGUGAAGUCGUAACAAGGUAUC
rnacentral:rRNA from 1 species